ACGCACGCUGGCGGCGUGCUUCACACCUGCAAGUCGAACGGAAAGGCCCUGCUUUUGUGGGGUGCUCGAGUGGCGAACGGGUGAGUAACACGUGAGUAACCUGCCCUUGACUUUGGGAUAACUUCAGGAAACUGGGGCUAAUACCGGAUAGGAGCUCCUGCUGCAUGGUGGGGGUUGGAAAGUUUCGGCGGUUGGGGAUGGACUCGCGGCUUAUCAGCUUGUUGGUGGGGUAGUGGCUUACCAAGGCUUUGACGGGUAGCCGGCCUGAGAGGGUGACCGGCCACAUUGGGACUGAGAUACGGCCCAGACUCCUACGGGAGGCAGCAGUGGGGAAUAUUGCACAAUGGGCGGAAGCCUGAUGCAGCAACGCCGCGUGCGGGAUGACGGCCUUCGGGUUGUAAACCGCUUUCGCCUGUGACGAAGCGUGAGUGACGGUAAUGGGUAAAGAAGCACCGGCUAACUACGU
rnacentral:rRNA from 1 species